rnacentral:lncRNA from 1 species
CUUCUUACUGUACACGUGGAAGUAAGGAGUGGCAAAGAGAAGGGAACACGGAGCCGCCAUUUGGAACAUGCCUAGCUCCAGGUUCUGAUAUGCUUUGGAUUAUGUCCCCACCCAAAUCUCAUGUUGAAAUGUAAUCCCCAUUGUUGGAGGUGGGGCCUGGUGGGAGGUAAUUGGAUCAUGGGACCAGUUUCUUAUGAGAGGUUUAGCACCAUCACCUCAGUGCUGUUCUCAUGAUAGUGAGUUCUCAUGAGACCUGGUUGUUUAAAAGUGUGUAGCCCCUCCCCCUCCUCCUCCUGGUCCAGCCAUGUGAAGUGCUCACUCCCCCUUUGCCUUCUGCCAUGAUUGUAAGUCUCCAGAGGCCUCCCCAGAAGCCAAGCAGAUGCCAGCAUCAUGCUUCCUGUACAGCCUGUGGAAUCAUGAGCCAACUAAACUUCAAUUAAACCUUUCUAAAUUAC